rnacentral:tRNA from 1 species
GGCGUAUUGGAGAAGAGGCUAACUCACAGGAUUUUCAAUCCUGCAUUCGCGCGGUUCGAAUCCGGCAUACGCUGCCA